rnacentral:tRNA from 1 species
GCGGGCGUGGCGGAACUGGCAGACGCGCGGGAUUUAGGUUCCCGUGUCCGGAAGGACGUGGAGGUUCGAGUCCUCUCGCCCGCA